ACGACAACGAGAGGACGUAGGUGGUGACAACAGGACGUAGGCGAUGUCAACAGGAAGUAGGCGAUUGCGACAGGAAGUAUGCGAUUGCGACAACGACAGGACGUAGAUGAUGACGACAACGACAGGACGUAGGUGAUGACGACAACGACAAGACGUAGGCAGUGACAAGAGAACGUAGGUGAUGUCAACAACGACAACGAGAGGACGUAGGCGGUGACAACAGGACGUAGGUGAUGUCGACAGGACGUAGGUGAUGACGUCAACAACAGGACGUAGGUGAUGACGACAAUGACAGGACGUAGGCAGUGACAACAGAACGUAGGUGAUGUCGACAACGACAACGAGAGGACGUAGGCGGUGACAACAGGACGUAGGUGAUGUCGACAACGACAACGAGAGGACGUAGGCGGUGACAACAGGACGUAGGUGAUGUCGACAGGACGUAGGUGAUGACGUCAACAACAGGACGUAGGUGAUGAUGACAACGACAGGACGUAGGUGAUGAC